GACGAACGCUGGCGGCGUGCCUAAUACAUGCAAGUAGAACGCUGAAGAGAGGAGCUUGCUCUUCUUGGAUGAGUUGCGAACGGGUGAGUAACGCGUAGGUAACCUGCCUUGUAGCGGGGGAUAACUAUUGGAAACGAUAGCUAAUACCGCAUAACAAUGGAUGACACAUGUCAUUUAUUUGAAAGGGGCAAUUGCUCCACUACAAGAUGGACCUGCGUUGUAUUAGCUAGUAGGUGAGGUAAUGGCUCACCUAGGCGACGAUACAUAGCCGACCUGAGAGGGUGAUCGGCCACACUGGGACUGAGACACCGCCCAGACUCCUACGGGAGGCAGCAGUAGGGAAUCUUCGGCAAUGGGGGCAACCCUGACCGAGCAACGCCGCGUGAGUGAAGAAGGUUUUCGGAUCGUAAAGCUCUGUUGUAAGUCAAGAACGGGUGUGAGAGUGGAAAGUUCACACUGUGACGGUAGCUUACCAGAAAGGGACGGCUAACUACGUG
rnacentral:rRNA from 1 species